CCGUGUUUGGAGCCACGUGCAACUUGACGUGCAGUCUGAACCCUGGAUAAGCAGGAAUGUGGAUUCUACCGCAGAUAUCCGGAUAAAACUUUGGGGAGAAAGAUCAAAGUUUUGUUUUGUUUUUGUAGUUGAGACCGCGUUGCUUCUGCGGAAAGAAAGACACGGCAGGCUCAAUGAAGAAUGCCAGGCUGCACAGCUCUCUUCCUCUCAGCAUUAACAGUGACUCUCUUCUGUGCUGCAGUCGGUCAGACUAAAUUCACUAUGAGUGCAGAACAGGAGGUCUACCAAGCAGAAGAAAACAGUAACAUCACAAUGACCUGGCUGCUCCAUUUCGAUACCAACAGGCCUCCUGACUUCCUACAAAUAAACCUCAUAAAUGUGAAAAAGAAGACACGGGUUUUCUUCUAUAACAGUGAGACUGGCACUGAGGUGUAUCCAGAUGAGAACUACAGAGGACGAGUGCAGUGUGAUUCACAGCUCGCCAGGAAAGGACGGCUUGAAUGUGUCCUAACUGAUCUCAGGCUCAACGACACGGGGACAUAUCACUGCAUCGUUGUCCAUAACGAAGAAGUUAGUUCCAAAACAUGUGACCUCAAUGUUACAGCUGCUGUUGAAAAACUGAAGACAGAAACACUGAAACCAGAGAGCUGUGAGAGGAUCGGUCUCUAUUCAGCUCUGGGUUUAUUUGCAGCUGUGAUUUUUGCACUUUCCCUGCAUUACUUGAUUUUAACGUAUUGUAAAGUAAAUAAUCAAUAUAAUUUGUAUUUAUGUGAAGUAGCAGCCUCAUUACAGAUCACUCCUGAGGUCACCUCUGACUGUAAUGAGGCUGCUGACUGUUUUUAAAAUAUUGUUGCAAUUCCUCAGAGCUGUACCACAGAGCAGUGCACACUUACAUCAUCCUCCACUCUCCCAUAUUUAACACAAACUUAUGCACUUUUAUUCCCAAGUUUGUUUGGUUUUUUUUUUCAAUUAUUUUUCUAUUAUUUUUACACCCUGACCUGCUGCAUCCCAUUUUGUUACGUUUAGACUGAAACAUGUGUAAAAGAGAAAUUUAAUCAUCACUUCACCAAAAACACUAUUUAUCCCAAAUCUGAAACAUGUUCGUUCAUCCUGGAUUGUUAUUCAUUGGUACAAUGUGUGGCUAGCACAAAUGCUAACCAUAAACUGAAAGUAAUAGGGAAAGCAGCUGCUUUGUUAUAGUUCUUACAGUUUUAAUGCUACUUCAACUUUAAAGUUUACGUUUUUGUACUGAAGGAGUUAAAAAUGUGCUGUUAAUUAACUCUGGUGCUAAUGGAGCUCCUUCAGUUUACAUAGAAGUGUUUUUGUAUCAGCUUCUGUUUGCAAACCAUCUUCUUCUAUGGAGCAGUUUAGACUUUAUAAAGGUUUGUGUGCAGCUACGUUUUAAACCUCAACAUGAUCAAAAUAGUUUGCUGUUUGUCAUUAAUGCAAACUAGUGUUAUGAAGUUUAUCGAUCAGUGUUUAUCCAACAUUGACCUUAAAAAGAAUGCACUUUGCUCACAGCUGAUGACAAAGACUUGAUUGGAAUCAGUAAUUUGAUUUUUUUUCUUUUUUCCCUCCUUCUACCUCAUAUUAUUCAGUUUACAUUAGUUUAAAACAGCCAUCCAUUACAGAUUACCUCUCAGUUCAGCUCUUUCUGUAAUGAGGCUGAUGUUAAUAUUAACUGGGAUUUCCUGGCCAGCAGUCAAACCUCUACCAGACUCUGUGAAAUGAAGGUUUUUUUUAAGUUGUUGGUGUGACCAGAGAGGUCCAAUGAAGUGAGAUUAAUUACUUAGUGGAAUAUGUUUUACCUCAUGUUUUAUCAAAGGGGGCUAAGCUAAACACAAAAUCAUUUUCCUUGCAGGAAGUACAGCUUCCUCUUUUUGUGGGUUAUAUGUCACCUUAUAUGUUGCUGUUAAUAACUUAAAAUAAAAAUUUUCAUCUCUGACCGGGGUUUUAGAUUUCUUUAAACAAGCUAACAUAAAGAAAGUCAGGCUAUGUUGAACCUGGUCCAUAUUAUAUCUCUCAGGUCUUAAUUCCAGUGUUAGAUCUGUGUGUUGUUUCACUGUGAGGCCUUUAUUCUUUUUUUUUUUUUUUUUUUUUUUUUUAAGCCUUUAUUUUCAAAAUUCAUGGCAAUUCAUAACAAAGCAACACAUAAGAACUUUGCAUCAAAAUAUAUGGCAAUACACAUGAUAUUUUACAACAAAUACAUGAAACUAAAAUUUCAGUUAACCUUCCCAAAAUCAUACUCAAACAUUUUAACAUUAUUCAUAUCUUUAAAAGAUCCCAAGGUAAAGGACUAUUAUUUUUCUGUUCUAGAGUUUUCCUCCUCCUCAAGUCUGCAAAAAUAUUCUUACAAACAGCCACACUAUCUAUCAUCUUUUGUUCAAUGACCACCUUGGCUCUUGUUUUCCAAAUGUGGGUAUUGAUAAUGCACAUGAUUAGCCAAAAAAGGCGUCUUUUAUUGUCAUACAUUUUUUCCUUAAACAGACCAUACUUUAUAGCUUUUAUGUUAUUAUCAAUAUCAAACCCCGCUUUAGCCAUUUGCUGUCUGAUCUCUACCGUUCUGUAGCAGGAUAACAGUAAAUGUUCCAGGGUUUCAUCUUCGGUACAUUGUGACAUUGGGCAUUCUUUAGUGGUGACAUAGCAGCUCCACUGAACCACGGCUCUAACCGGGAGACGUCCGACAGAAAUCAACCAAACCGUGUCUCUCAUGUUUUCAGAAAUUAGUUUAUCAUAAACAUUUUUAACUAUUAUCGGGUAUUCUCCUACGCCCACGUCCUUAUAUUUUAUCUGUCCUUCAUUAAUUUUUUUAUUAAUUAUAUUAUAUACUUGUUUAGUGCAUGUUUGUGUCCAAUUAAUGUCAAGAUCUUUCCACUGCUCUGUAAUGUCACCAAAAAGAAGCUUAUAAUAAGGUAUAUUUGAUCUAGCCCUACCUUUUAAUUUUUCCCAUUGUGCUACAUGACCGCUAAUCCACGGAGCUUCCCUAUUAAGAGGGCUAAAAACAUUUUUAAUAAACGGAAUUCUCAAAGUGAUGCGGAGAUCUGGCGCACCCAAUCCACCACACUCUUUACCUUAUACAUCAAGGUUCGUUUCGUUACCUCUCGAUUUGUUCCCCAUAUUAAUUUAACACACAAUUUGUUUAAAAGCAUAAUUGUUUUAUGAGGGGGAGGAAAAACCGUAGCGAGAAAAAAAAGUUUCGAUACUAUAUGGGUUUUAACUAUAUUAACUCGCGCUUUAUAAUUGGUGUUUUUAUUUUCCCAUUUCGCUACUUCUUCUUUAAUUUCACAUUCCUUUUUAGACCAAUUUACCAAACAGGGGUCUCCUUUGUUGAUCCAAAUUCCCAAGACUUUCAUUUCAUCAUUUACUUGUAUGUUUAUUUUCGGUUUUUGUAACGAGGAACCAAACCACACUCCUUCGGUUUUUUCCUGAUUUAAUUUUGCCCCUGAUGCCAAUUCAUAUUGUUUGAGGUGAAAAAAUAACCUACCUAACUCGUCCUGAUUCCUAAUGAUAACUGUAACGUCAUCGGCAUAAGCCAUGGCUGUCACUCUAUAGCCGUCACUUAAACAGUAUCCUUUAAUAUUAGAAUCGUUAUUGAUUAGUUUCAAUAAAGGAUUGAUGGCUAAAACAUACAAAGCAGCGCUUAGCGGGCAUCCGUUUCACUCCACACGAAGCAUGGAAUUGUUCGGUCAAACUUCCAUUUACCUUGACUUGUAUGAUGGAUUUCUUGUACAGCAAUUUCACCAUUGUGAUAAAACUGUCCGGCAUCCCAUAGGCCUUCAUUCGAAUAGAAUAAAAUAGAAUAGAAUGCCUUUAUUGUCACUAUACAGUUGUACAAUGAGAUACAGAGCAUCUCCUACUCAGUGCAAACAUGCUGGGGGGGGGUACA